rnacentral:rRNA from 1 species
ACGAACGCUGGCGGCGUGCUUAACACAUGCAAGUCGAGCGGUAAGGCCCUUUCGGGGGUACACGAGCGGCGAACGGGUGAGUAACACGUGGGUGACCUGCCCUUAGCUCUGGGAUAAGCCUGGGAAACUGGGUCUAAUACCGGAUAUGACUCCAUGACGCAUGUUGUGGGGUGGAAAGCCUUGUGCGGCUAGGGAUGGGCCCGCGGCCUAUCAGCUUGUUGGUGGGGUGAUGGCCACCAAGGCGACGACGGGUAGCCGGCCUGAGAGGGCGACCGGCCACACUGGGACUGAGACACGGCCCAGACUCCUACGGGAGGCAGCAGUGGGGAAUCUUGCGCAAUGGGCGAAAGCCUGACGCAGCGACGCCGCGUGAGGGAUGACGGCCUGGUUGUAAC